AGCUAAGCCAUGCAGAUGAGGAACGUAUUUCUUCCUUUGCUUUCAAACACCAGGCUUGGGAGAGAUGUAAAGAGACAGGCAAAGGAUGAAAAGGGAUCUUCUUCCUUCCUUUCCUCUGGUUCCCUAUCAAAGCGGUUCAGAACUUCAAAGCGGUUCCUGAUGUUCUGUUUUAAAAUGAUGACAGCUACUGAAAUCAUGGGCAGCACAGGGGAGAAGUAAACAGACAGGCACAGCCAGGAGGGAACACGCAUAGCAUGUGGAGGACGCAC